CCCCCCCCCCCCCAUCAUGUCAAGCUGAUUUAAACAUUUAACAAAGAUUGACCUGUUGAAUUUACAUUUAUUUAAGUAGAAUAAUACUUCUGGAACAAAUUCAAUUGGCAAAAAGUGGUCACAAUGUAUUUUACUAUUUCUACCCUUGAAAAAUUUUGAAUGAAAUAUAGCGAGUGAAACUUUUUUUUAGGACUUAAGUUAUGGUUUAAUGUUGGUGCUAACUUCAGUUUUAAAGGUUGUUCAUAAAAAAAAAGUGUAUAGCCUACAUGUAUAUAAAUUAAAUUUACUGUAUACAUAAUCAGCGCUUGUAUAUGAAGUGAUUGUAUCAUAGAUAUGUACAUUUGUAAAAUAUAAUAUUUCUUUCUUCUGUCUUGUGUUGUUUUUUUUUAGAUUGCAUGAUGUCAUUUCAAAGCACAAACGACCUUUUUUU